UAGCAGCAUCAAACUGGGCUUCCCUGGGCUGCCUCUAUAGCAACCCCACCAGAGCGGCUUUUCACAGCAACUGAAGAAGUGACAGUAGAAGAAGGAUUGUUUCUUUCCUUAGAGGCAAAGGAGCCACCGGAAUAAAAGAGAUCAACCAGUGUCAAGAUUUGAUUCUGGGCCCCAAAGGGAAAUUUUUAGAAGGUGCCCUUUACUGUGUGUAAAUUGGAAGUGGUUUUCUCUCUUGGGAAGAGGAGCUAAUCAGACUGGGGAGAGCCUGUCAACUGCUGAUCUCCUAUGUCAGGAGACAGGGACGGGGAGUUAAGGGCACUGCUCAUGAAUGAAUCUAGAAAAUCUGCUGUCUUGGAUGGAGUAGAGUUCAAGCUCAUGCUAAGAUGAACUUUGGGUAUGCCCUGCUGGAUCACUCCUUCCUAAACCAGGUAGACACGUGGGGUAGAGGCAGUGAGUAUGUGGCAGAGAAUGGGGUCCUGAAUGGCCCUGCAACCUGGGAUGGAUUUUUAUCAUUGUUCUUCUUGUGAGGCAACAGAAUGGUAUUCCUUUCCUUCACCCUCCAGCUGUGUGUUGAUUCUAUGCCAUCUUCAGGAAAACAACAUUCUGGAGGAGAGCAAAUGGACAGGGGAGAAGGAGCUGGGAACAGGAUCGAGUCCAUUCCACAGCAUCUGUCCCGAGCUGGGUCCUGAAAUGAGAUUCACCAUAUCCAAGGAUUUUUCUGAAGAUCAAUGAUUCAAUAGAAGCAAGAAUACACAUUCCACUCAGGUCACAACCUACAGCUGGAGCCAAAUGUUAGGUGCCUAUGUGUACGUGCCAUGGGCUUACCUUUCUGUAUUAUUGAACUGACUCUGCUUUUGGAUUUGUUCUGUCCAAGGUGGAGCCAUCUUUUGUGAAAUACAUCACCACCAGAGCACUUUGUUCUGAUAAUGUAUUACUCUAAUACAUCUGUUGCUUUAAUGAUAUAUUAAUGUAAUACAUUAACAGAGCAAGGACAACUGAUGAUAUAUUAUGGGAAGUAAUGGUGCCAUUCAGAAAAUGAAGUAUUCAAGAAAAGAUUCAUUAGAAUUACAGGAUAAUAGCCAACAUAUGGGACUCUGGAAACUGCAAUCUUGUUCUGUUUUCUACUGGUAAGAUAAACAGCUCCCUUGCUCCAGAAGCCCCUGGCUCUUUCCAUUUAGGCACCAAAUUCCAUAAAAUAUUGGUUGCUACAUAUUUUAUAAUGUCUUUAUACAUAAUAACAAUGUCUUCCAUGAACCUGGGGUCACUGUAGGCUCAUUGUAUCCAGUUACAUUGUUUUUACUAGGAAGUCCUCCUUAUUUACUCCUAACCAUAGGAAACCAAGUAACAUUGACCUCUGGACAGUUAGAACAGCAUAUCAUCUCUCAUUACAAUAAUCUGAACUCCAGUCAUUGUUCAACAUUAAUUAUUGCCAAGGCUAUAGCAUUUUCUUGCUACUUGACAGUUGAUCUUCAUCCUAUCAUUAACCUUAGGUCAAUUUAAUCCCAACCUCCAUUUUCAGCACUAUACAAACAAUUUAUUUUUGCAUUUUUUUCAACCACACAAAGACAAACAAUGUCAGAUUGCUCCACAUUAUUUUAUGCAUUACGAUGAUUAAACAUUUUUAAAGACAUCCAAACAUCAAAGUUUGGAAAGCACCAGUCAACGAGAGUUCUGGAAAUGAGAUGUCAUGGUGGUUUAUUUUCCUGUAGAAGGAGGAGGAGCAAGAUGGUGGAAGAGUAGGGUCCCCAAAUCACCUGUCCCCACCAAAUUACCUAGAUAACCUUCAAAUCAUCCUGAAAAUCUAUUUUCCUGUAGAAGAAUUAUAUAAGGAAGGACUCAAGAGUAUGUAAGUUCAGGACUUAAAACGUAUUUUAAGACUAUUCUCUAAUAUGAACCAAGAAGAUUUAUAGUCAGCAUCUACUAUACAGAACUAUCCCCUACAGUUUAGAAUACUGUACAUUUAGUAUUCCUAAAGCCACGAGCAGAAAUGAUAGCCAAAUUCAGACAAUUUCAUCUGCCUAUAAGGUUUCUUUUUUCCUCCUAGAAAUCAGAUGUAUGAAUAUAGGAGAAAGGAAGCUAGAAUUGCUGCUGAGAAAUCUAUUUGGUGUUCUCUAUUCUUCUUGACCUGAUGCUUAUAUUGAAAUGCCAGAAAUAACAGUUUGACACAGCAAGGCCCACUGAAACAAUAGUACUUAAUGCAUUUGACUGAAGAAUAAGUAAGCUUUGAAUAAUCAUAGCCAAUUUCAAGUUAAAGAAAUGCUUUGCAGAACUUUAGUGAGCUUUCCUCUGCAAAAUAGAAUAUAAAGCUAAAAGAACUGUUGAAAUGUAUAAAACUCAGGAAAGCAUUAAUUUUAAAUAAACACUCUCACAUAUAAAGGAGAUAUUUUUAU
ensembl:lncRNA